ensembl:piRNA 21ur-1814 ncRNA
UAAUACACUUGAUCGUGUUUU